CAUUAAAGAAUAUUUUUGGUAUUUCAAUCAAAAUUUUAUAUCUUUCGAAUAGACAUGAUACAUUGAUAGAUAUCAAUCUUGUCUUGUAGAUUUGAUCAAAUUAAAGUAUUUAAUUUAAUCGCCAAUUAGAAAAGAUUCGAAUUGUUGAAAUCGGGUUAGCUUGAUUUGAUCUAAAUUUAUUAGAUAAGAUUCUAAUCAAAUCAGAUCCACUAACAUUCAAACCAACUGUAGGCU
rnacentral:lncRNA from 1 species